rnacentral:pre_miRNA from 1 species
UACAUUGAUAUCUAUCCAUGUAGCAGUCAAGAAACAAUAACAUCUGUUAUUGUUUCUUGACUGCUACAUGGAUAGAUGUUAUUGUUU